rnacentral:lncRNA from 1 species
GUCCCCUGCCUGAAUCCGAACAUGCUGGCUCCUGAUCCUGGAUUUCCAGCCUCCGGAACUGUGAGAAAUCAAUGUCAGUUGUUGAGAAGCACCCAGUUUAUGGUGUUUUGAGACAGCUGACUGGACUAAGGCAGAACGAAAGAGGGGAAGACUCACUUGUUUCUUCACAGGAUUAAACAGGGGCAGGCAGCUGGGACAAAGCAGCACUGGACCCGAGCUGGAGGGAUGGAUCCCGGGCCCUCCACUCACUGGCCGACAAUGACGGGC